rnacentral:rRNA from 1 species
AGAGUUUGAUCCUGGCUCAGAUUGAACGCUGGCGGCAUGCCUUACACAUGCAAGUCGAACGGCAGCACGGGAGCAAUCCUGGUGGCGAGUGGCGAACGGGUGAGUAAUACAUCGGAACGUGCCCAGUAAUGGGGGAUAGCCCGGCGAAAGCCGGAUUAAUACCGCAUACGACCUACGGGUGAAAGCGGGGGAUCGCAAGACCUCGCGUUAUUGGAGCGGCCGAUGUCAGAUUAGCUUGUUGGUGGGGUAAAAGCCUACCAAGGCGACGAUCUGUAGCUGGUCUGAGAGGACGACCAGCCACACUGGGACUGAGACACGGCCCAGACUCCUACGGGAGGCAGCAGUGGGGAAUUUUGGACAAUGGGCGCAAGCCUGAUCCAGCCAUGCCGCGUGUGGGAAGAAGGCCUUCGGGUUGUAAACCACUUUUGUCAGGGAAGAAACGGUCUAAUCUAAUAAAUCGGACUAAUGACGGUACCUGAAGAAUAAGCACCGGCUAACUACGUGCCAGCAGCCGCGGUAAUACGUAGGGUGCAAGCGUUAAUCGGAAUUACUGGGCGUAAAGCGUGCGCAGGCGGCUAUGCAAGACAGAUGUGAAAUCCCCGGGCUCAACCUGGGAACUGCAUUUGUGACUGCAUGGCUAGAGUACGGUAGAGGGGGAUGGAAUUCCGCGUGUAGCAGUGAAAUGCGUAGAUAUGCGGAGGAACACCGAUGGCGAAGGCAAUCCCCUGGACCUGUACUGACGCUCAUGCACGAAAGCGUGGGGAGCAAACAGGAUUAGAUACCCUGGUAGUCCACGCCCUAAACGAUGUCAACUGGUUGUUGGACGGCUUGCUGUUCAGUAACGAAGCUAACGCGUGAAGUUGACCGCCUGGGGAGUACGGCCGCAAGGUUGAAACUCAAAGGUAUUGACGGGGACCCGCACAAGCGGUGGAUGAUGUGGUUUAAUUCGAUGCAACGCGAAAAACCUUACCUACCCUUGACAUGUCUAGAAUCCUGAAGAGAUUUAGGAGUGCUCGAAAGAGAACUAGAACACAGGUGCUGCAUGGCCGUCGUCAGCUCGUGUCGUGAGAUGUUGGGUUAAGUCCCGCAACGAGCGCAACCCUUAUCAUUAGUUGCUACGCAAGGGCACUCUAAUGAGACUGCCGGUGACAAACCGGAGGAAGGUGGGGAUGACGUCAGGUCAUCAUGGCCCUUAUGGGUAGGGCUACACACGUCAUACAAUGGCCGGUACAGAGGGCUGCCAACCCGCGAGGGGGAGCUAAUCUCAGAAAACCGGUCGUAGUCCGGAUCGCAGUCUGCAACUCGACUGCGUGAAGUCGGAAUCGCUAGUAAUCGCGGAUCAGCUUGCCGCGGUGAAUACGUUCCCGGGUCUUGUACACACCGCCCGUCACACCAUGGGAGCGGGUUCUGCCAGAAGUAGUUAGCCUAACCGCAAGGAGGGCGAUUACCACGGCAGGGUUCGUGACUGGGGUGAAGUCGUAACAAGGUA